rnacentral:rRNA from 1 species
GUAGGUGGCAAGCGUUGUCCGGAAUUAUUGGGCGUAAAGCGUGCGCAGGCGGUUCUUUAAGUCUGGUGUGAAAGCCCACGGCUCAACCGUGGAGGGUCAUUGGAAACUGGAGAACUUGAGUACAGAAGAGGAAAGCGGAAUUCCACGUGUAGCGGUGAAAUGCGUAGAGAUGUGGAGGAACACCAGUGGCGAAGGCGGCUUUCUGGUCUGUAACUGACGCUGAGGCGCGAAAGCGUGGGGAGCAAACAGGGAUUAGAUACCCUGGUAGUCCACGCCGUAAACGAUGAGUGCUAAGUGUUAGGGGGUUUCCCGCCCCUUAGUGCUGCAGCUAACGCAUUAAGCACUCCGCCUGGGGAGUACGGCCGCAAGGCUG